rnacentral:lncRNA from 1 species
CCAAAUUCUCCAUUUUGGUACACGCCAAAGCAUUCCAUUUCGGCGGAUUGAAAGAGCCAUCAAUCACUAUGAUCUCUUUCUUAGAAAAGAAAUUGCGUAAAUUCUUUCUUUUUUUCUCCCAUGCUUUCCGUUGGUCAUCAACCAACUAAAGUGCUCUAUACUUCUUCACUACUCGAACAGGGAAGGUGGAAGAAAUGAAGUCUCUCAUUUUUUUGGGGGGAGCAGAGCAGUCAAAGAAUGAACCAAACCAAAUGAUUGUUCUAGAAUGGCUAUUCCUCACAAUUGCUCCUUGUGAUGCAGCGGAACCAUGGCAAUUAGGAUCUCAAGACGCAGCAACACCUAUAAUGCAAGGAAUAACAGACUUACAUCACGAUGUCUUUUUCUAUUCCUCACAAUUGCUCCUUGUGAUGCAGCGGAACCAUGGCAAUUAGGAUCUCACGACUGCAACACCUAUAAUGCAAGGAAUAACAGACUUACAUCACGCUUUCUUUUUCUUCGUUAUUCUAAUUUUUUUUUCGUAUCAUGGAUCUUGGGUCGCGCUUUAUGGCAUUUCCACUAUAAAAAAAAUCCAAUCUCGCAAAGGAUUGUUCAUGGAACUACUAUUGAGAUUCUUCGGACCAUAUUUCCUAGUAUCAUCCCUAUGUUCAUUGCUAUACCAUCAUUUGCUCUGUUAUACUCAAUGGACGAGGUAGUAGUAUAUC